rnacentral:rRNA from 1 species
UACGGAGGGAGCUAGCGUUGUUCGGAUAUACUGGGCGUAAAGCGCACGUAGGCGGCGUCGUAAGUCAGGGGUGAAAUCCCGGAGCUCAACUCCGGAACUGCCUUUGAAACUGCAAUGCUAGAAUCUUGGAGAGGCGAGUGGAAUUCCGAGUGUAGAGGUGAAAUUCGUAGAUAUUCGGAAGAACACCAGUGGCGAAGGCGACUCGCUGGACAAGUAUUGACGCUGAGGUGCGAAAGCGUGGGGAGCAAACAGG